rnacentral:rRNA from 1 species
CCUGGUAGUGGGGGACAACGUCUCGAAAGGGACGCUAAUACCGCAUACGUCCUACGGGAGAAAGCAGGGGACCUUCGGGCCUUGCGCUAUCAGAUGAGCCUAGGUCGGAUUAGCUAGUUGGUGAGGUAAUGGCUCACCAAGGCGACGAUCCGUAACUGGUCUGAGAGGAUGAUCAGUCACACUGGAACUGAGACACGGUCCAGACUCCUACGGGAGGCAGCAGUGGGGAAUAUUGGACAAUGGGCGAAAGCCUGAUCCAGCCAUGCCGCGUGUGUGAAGAAGGUCUUCGGAUUGUAAAGCACUUUAAGUUGGGAGGAAGGGUUGUAGAUUAAUACUCUGCAAUUUUGACGUUACCGACAGAAUAAGCACCGGCUAACUCUGUGCCAGCAGCCGCGGUAAUACAGAGGGUGCAAGCGUUAAUCGGAAUUACUGGGCGUAAAGCGCGCGUAGGUGGUUUGUUAAGUUGGAUGUGAAAGCCCCGGGCUCAACCUGGGAACUGCAUUCAAAACUGACAAGCUAGAGUAUGGUAGAGGGUGGUGGAAUUUCCUGUGUAGCGGUGAAAUGCGUAGAUAUAGGAAGGAACACCAGUGGCGAAGGCGACCACCUGGACUGAUACUGAC